CUGUAUUCAUGGUAAGGAAAUUACUCCUAAAAACCUAGUUGUGUGGUCGUCGUACAAAUACAUACAGAAACCUCAUAAAGAAGUUGAUCUUCUUCUUCCUCACAAAGAAAACGAUUCUUCUCUGCGUGUGUGUCACUAGCAACAACAAGAAAAUCGAGUUCGUGUUCUGUUUUUUUUCUUGAAUCGAAGUGCUGAAAAGAAUUACCAAGAAAAGGGCUAUCUUUCUUCUCUGCGUUUCAGGUUUUUCCUCCACCUCCAAUGUCUCCCUCUUCCACCUCCAACGCCACCCUCUUCCACCUCUAGUGUUUUGAACUCGAAUUCGGAUGAUUUCAAAAACCCUAAAGAAACAACUCUAACCAUCUCUUCUGUAUUGUGAUUCUCUAUAUUUUUUUUACCCCUUUCUGAUUUGCGAGUUCAAAUUUCAAAGAGACAAAGACAUUGGUGGUGACCCUUCUGCCCAUGACAUCGCCACUCUUUUAGCAGGUAUAAAAUACAACCUAUCCUUCUUCCCUGAGUUCCAAUUAAUGGUCCAUUUGUGAACCUUAGUAUCAGCGAUGCUUUUGUUUGGCAUCUCUAAUAUGGUGAGUAGAUGUUUAUUUUUUAGGACCUUUUUUCUAUCUUGAUGCAUCUUCAAGAUUAAUAUUGGUCAAUAUUUCAUAAUUUUUUUAUUAUUCUUGGCUCCACCUAAUGCAAUUUUAGUUUUAUCUGUCAAUUUCUUUUAAUAUUCAUCUUUUUUUGCAUGAUUUCUACUUGUAACCCUCUUAUGUAUUUCUUAUUUCUGGUACCUUGUGUUGAAUGUCUGGUGAGGAUUCAAUAAAGAAAAGAAAACAGUACAUCCUUACGUCACCCCCCUUAUAUGACAAACUCUCAUCUUUCACUUCCCCUAAUGCUUUGUCGCUUUUCUCAACACCACACCACUAGAUUUUUACUUCAGGAAAUAACGUUCAUAAUGAUGCCAUCGUAACCCCUAUGGAAACAUAAAUUAAGGUAAUACUUUUUUCCUCUUUUUCUUAUUCUCAGUUUAUGAUCAGCAUGCUUGAAAUAGUACUGUGGUGAAAUUCGUUUCUGAAAUUGAAUUCAUGUUUCUAACAUUGAAAUAUUCCUGGAAGGUAGUUGUGGUUUUCAUUUGUUUAUUUUUUCAUCUACAUAUUAUAAAAGGCAAAAUUGCAAAAUUACAUGAUAUUGUGGUAAGGAAAUUUGUUUGACAUUACUUAGGACUUCCGUUAUGAUGCUUCAUCUUUUUUUUACUUAUGUUCAUGUUUGAAAAAGUAAGCAAGCGAUUCUUAUAGUUGUUGUUUAUGUAGUUUUGAUUAUCAGAGCCUUAUUGGGGAAUGCUUAUCAGGUGGCCAAAAUUUUGUUUGAACUCAUGUCAUCAAGUCAGAUAUGGCAGAAGAAGUUCCCGCUAUGUCUAUUUCAUUGAAACAGAGAGAUAUCGAGGCAAAACAAGGUAUACAUGCACCUUAAUCAAGUGUAUACCAAUUUAAUUAUGAUCUUAGGGGCUGUUUGGCAAGAUCUGGAUUUUUAAGGUUUAAAUUUCUAAGAGGGUCUGAAUUUUUAAGAUCUGAAUUUUUAAAUGUUGUUUGGUUGGAACCUCUGAAUUGUUGUGUUGAAUGAUAAAAAUGACCAUUUUACCAUUUAUAUCAUUUCUUUCAAUUACAACAUCAUACCUUUGAAAAAAUUAGAUUUCCUCAAACUAGGAUGCUACAAAUGAACAUCAUACAUGUGAAAUAUAUUUUUUCAUCAAAGUAGGAUGCUAAAUACAAACAUUACACCCAUGUAAACAAUGUACCCAUCAAUGAUUCAAUCACAUCCUGUGUGUUUAUACAUAACUUUCAUAUUAACAGCAAAAUGAUGGAUGGAUAUCAACACUGAAGUUACCUAAUAUCAAUAAAGCCGUCAUUUUAGUCUUCCCAAAGCUCUGGCAACGGAUAUCUGCCAUUAGCCUUGCAAUCUUCUCAUCUUCUUCAUCCACCAUUUAUGUUAAUUAAGUUCUUCAUACAUACCUUGAAAUCAUCUCUAUAAAAAUGAUUGAUUACAGAUGCUUAAAACAGUUGGAAGGACGUAAGUACACAUUCAAACUAUAAAUCAAUAACCAACUUGGAAGCUUACCUGCGAUCGUGAGAACCCAGUGCUACAAAUUGAUUAAAAAAGGAGGAAGUGUGAUUUGGGGUGGGUGCCGAUUGGAUUCUGGGAACAGGAAAGAACUAAACGCAAAAAGGGGAGGCAUCAAUUUCGUACCUGAACAAUAGAGGAGAUCAGAAGACGCAUGGUGGAGACUAGCAUUGUCGAGGGUGGCGCUGUCGGAGCUAGGCGUCGGAGGUCUGACCUUGGUGGUGUGAGUCGACUGAUAUUAGAACGUGGGGUCGACAAUGUGAGGCGGUGAUGUCGACGAUGGGGGCGGCGAUGCAGUCUGGGGUCGACGAUGCGAGGAGGUGUUGGAGGGUAGCGACGGCCGGAAAAGGGGUUGUGACUGGCGUCGGAAGUAGAGACGAUUGUGGGAGGCGAGGAAGAGAUGAACGAGUGUCGCGGGGCACGAGGAUAAGUGCGUCUUUUUUUAGAUGCCCUUUUAGAUCUUACCAAAUCAGAUGCAUUUUUAAUUUUCAAAUCGUUUUUUAAGAGCUAAACAAACAAUCUGAAUCUUUAAGAUUCAGACAUAGCCUCUUUUAAGAGGCAUUAAAUGGUAAACCAACAACUCCUUAGAGGCUUAGACACCUUAAUCCAACAAUUACAUUCAUAU
rnacentral:lncRNA from 1 species